GCAUAUCAAUAAGCGGAGGAAAAGAAACCAACAGGGAUUGCCCCAGUAACGGCGAGUGAAGCGGCAACAGCUCAAAUUUGAAAUCUGGCCCUCGGGUCCGAGUUGUAAUUUGUAGAGGAUGCUUUUGGCGAGGUGCCUUCCGAGUUCCCUGGAACGGGACGCCAUAGAGGGUGAGAGCCCCGUCUGGUCGGACACCGAGCCUCUGUAAAGCUCCUUCAACGAGUCGAGUAGUUUGGGAAUGCUGCUCAAAAUGGGAGGUAUAUGUCUUCUAAAGCUAAAUAUUGGCCAGAGACCGAUAGCGCACAAGUAGAGUGAUCGAAAGAUGAAAAGCACUUUGAAAAGAGGGUUAAAAAGUACGUGAAAUUGUUGAAAGGGAAGCGCUUAUGACCAGACUUGCGCCCGGUGAAUCAUCCAGCGUUCUCGCUGGUGCACUUUGCCGGGCACAGGCCAGCAUCAGUUUGGCGCGGGGGAAAAAGGCUUCGGGAAUGUGGCUCCCUCGGGAGUGUUAUAGCCCGCUGCGUAAUACCCUGCGCCGGACUGAGGUACGCGCAUUGCAAGGAUGCUGGCGUAAUGGUCAUCAGCGACCCGUCUUGAAACACGGACCAAGGAGUCGUCUUCGUAUGCGAGUGUUCGGGUGUCAAACCCCUACGCGUAAUGAAAGUGAACGCAGGUGAGAGCUUCGGCGCAUCAUCGACCGAUCCUGAUGUUCUCGGAUGGAUUUGAGUAAGAGCAUACGGGGCCGGACCCGAAAGAAGGUGAACUAUGCCUGUAUAGGGUGAAGCCAGAGGAAACUCUGGUGGAGGCUCGCAGCGGUUCUGACGUGCGAAUCGAUCGUCAAAUAUGGGCAUGGGGGCGAAAGACUAAUCGAACCUUCUAGUAGCUGGUUUCCGCCGAA
rnacentral:rRNA from 1 species